AGGGAUCAUUACACAAAUAUGAAGGCGGGCUGGAACCUCUCGGGGUUACAGCCUUGCUGAAUUAUUCACCCUUGUCUUUUGCGUACUUCUUGUUUCCUUGGUGGGUUCGCCCACCACUAGGACAAACAUAAACCUUUUGUAAUUGCAAUCAGCGUCAGUAACAAAUUAAUAAUUACAACUUUCAACAACGGAUCUCUUGGUUCUGGCAUCGAUGAAGAACGCAGCGAAAUGCGAUAAGUAGUGUGAAUUGCAGAAUUCAGUGAAUCAUCGAAUCUUUGAACGCACAUUGCGCCCUUUGGUAUUCCAAAGGGCAUGCCUGUUCGAGCGUCAUUUGUACCCUCAAGCUUUGCUUGGUGUUGGGCGUCUUGUCUCUAGCUUUGCUGGAGACUCGCCUUAAAGUAAUUGGCAGCCGGCCUACUGGUUUCGGAGCGCAGCACAAGUCGCACUCUCUAUCAGCAAAGGUCUAGCAUCCAUUAAGCCUUUUUUUCAACUUUUGACCUCGGAUCAGGUAGGGA
rnacentral:rRNA from 1 species